rnacentral:lncRNA from 1 species
GUGACAACAAGCUAAGCUCUGGGUGACUAUUCCUGUAAGACACGUCCUGUGCUUAGCGCUGCUAUUAUGGGGUGAACAGACACAGCAAAGAAUCAAUUAAAACUCUGACACAUUAAAUGGAGCUCCAAGACCUGUUUCACAGGUUUCCAGAAAGGAAAAUAAUCAUGUUACAUUAUACUUUGGAAGCCGAUUGAGGCAAGAUUUCUGAGACAAGUUCUGAGGUUUCCAAGACAGACUUUAGCUUUUCUAAAUCAUUUUUUAAGUGCUAUGUAAAGGAUUACAGCAUUCAAUUCUCCAGUAGUCCAACAGCAUCAUGGUGGAGCAAGAGGGAUUAUCCUGUGGGCAUCCUCCGGAAAACUGUAUAUACCCAAAAGGAUUGAAGAUCGGUAUACAUGGAUAUGCAUACACCAUUCACAACGGCUAAAAGGUAGAAACAACCCAAUGUCCAUGAAUGGAUGAAUGGAUAAACAAGUUGUGUGAUAUAUCAAUACAGCAGACUAUUACUCAGCCAUAAAAAGGAAUGAAGUUCUGAUAAAUGUGACCAUGUGGAUGAACCUUGAAAAUAUUAUGUUAAGUGAAAGAAGCCAGACAAAAGGUCAAAUAUUAUUAUUAUUCCAUUUAUAUGAAAUAUCCAGAAUAGGCAAAUCCAUAGAGACAGAAAGCAGAUUGGUGGUUGCCAGGGGCUAAGGGAGUAGAGAAUGGGGAGUGACUGCUUCAUGGUACAGGGCUUCCUUUUGGGGUGGUGAAAAUGCUCUGCAACUAGACAGUAGUGACGGUUGCACAACAUUGUAAAUGUACUAAAUGUCACAAAUUGUUCUGUUUAAGUGGUUAAUUCUAUGUUAUUGAAUUUCACCUUAAUUUUAAAAAGAGAAAGAAAGAAAAAGAGGAAGCAGAAGGCUCUAAAGAGAAUGUAUGUCCAGGUGCAGUGGCUCACACCUGUAGUCUCAGCACUCUGAGAGGCCGAAGCAAGCAGAUCACUUGAGGCCAGGAGUUCAAGACCAGCCUGGCCAACGUGGUGAAACCCUAUCUCUAGUAAAAAUCCAAAAAUUAGCUGGGCAUGGUGGCACGCACCUAUAGUCCCAGCUACUCAGAAGGCUAAGGCACCAGAAUCACUUGAACCUGGAGGCGGAGACUGCAAUGAGCUGAGAUCACGUGAUUACACUCCAGCCUGGGCGACAGAGAGAAACUCUGUCUCAAAAAAAGAAAAAAAAAAGAGGAUGUGUAAAAGCCAGAAAAUAAGCUUAUCAGAUCAACUGAAGAUCAGCUCUUGCAAGCCUGGAAUGUCUUUGGACUUUACUUAUCCUGGGAGAAGUGGGAGAGCUAGUAAGGAUUUUUAAGCAGGAACAUAACUGGAUCAGGUCUAUAUUUUACACUGAAAUUUUUGAGUGGAGGCUGACAACAGCAGGGAGGUUCCUGGACCCAUGGAAACGAUAUGUGGAGUCUGCCGGCCAGUGAAUGAUCAUAAAGAACGUACCAGAAUAUGAAAUACCUGCCUGAUCAUGUUUCAGUUAAGUCGUUGUAAUGAUCUUUCACAAAAUUCAAACUCAGGAAUAUUAACUGAGAUGAGAAAUACGAACCACAAUUCUUUUCAAACUGAUUUUUUAAAUACCAUAAGCCCAUCUUUUCGCACAUCCUACCAGCUCUGGCAUCCCACAGAGCUUUUAAAGUAAAAUUAACCCACUUCAUCUUCCUCCAAAGAUUGCUCAUAAAGACCUGUCUUUGAACAAAUACUUUACCAAGGAAGUAAGCCUGCUUUUUAUUAGAGCAAAAUGCAAUCCAGAAAUAGGUUUAGAAAAAGAGCUAUGACCCACGAUUAAUACAAUUAUUUUUCUUAGUCUCAAUUUUAGUCACUUUAGCAUGUCCAAAACUACUGCACACUAACUUUGUUUGUUUGUUUGUUUGUUUGUUUGUUUGUUUUGAGACGGAGUCUCGCUCUUGUCUUCCGGGCUGGAGUGCAAUGGCGUCAUCUUGGCUCACUGCAACCUCGGCCUCCCGGGUUCAAGCGAUUCUCC